AUACAUAAUGGAAAACUAAACUUAACAAUCAAUCAAUUUCCCCCUGUAAGGCGUGGGCCCUACGUUGGGAAACACUGAUUUAGAUUUGAGGUAGCGAACGACGCAGUAUGUCUUGUAUGAUGUGCCAAUGAAAUCGCCUGUGGCUUAUACUCGGCCAUACUUCAUACCUACCUUUCUCUAUAGCUUAGGUAAGUACCUAUACGAAUUUAGAAAAACGUCAGUGGAAAAGGAAGUCAAUUCUCGGACUACACAGUACACAUACUAUCUUUGUCAUACCUCAACCCACGGACGAGGAAAGUCGGAGUCAAACAAUUCAGAGGCACUUAUAUUUAAAUAAUUAGUAAGAAUAACCAUGAAAUGGAAUAGUUUUUAGCUUUUUCAGGAAAAGAAGAAAAUUAUACCCACAACUACUCACUUUCAGUUAGGACGACCAACAAUUAAAAUUGCCGACAUCCCUACAAAACAAUUUGUUAGAGCACAAGUUAAAAAUGAGAACCCGCACAUGCGAAUCGAUGGUGUUUUGCAAUGGGCCGUGUUGCUGAUCGAAGGAAAACCUAGCUUAUGCGAUCAAUAAAGUACUUCUUCCAAAUUAUAAUAUAAUUUUAUGUACUCUCGUA